rnacentral:tRNA from 1 species
GCACCAGUGGUAUAGUGGUAGCAUAGGCUCCUUGCCACGGACCAGACCCGAGUUCAGAUUCUCGGCUGGUGCA